UAUCUACUAGCUGGUUAGAGCGCACCCCUGAUAAGGGUGAGGUCGGCAGUUCAAAUCUGCCCAUACCCACCAGUUACCUGGUGAAGUUGGUCAGAGCGCGUACCACACCCGGAUACGUGGCUUACGUCAGCUGGGAGAGCGCCUGCCUUGCGCGCAGGAGGUCAGCGGUUCGAUCCCGCUUGGCUCCACCACUUACUGCUUCUGUUUGAAAGCUUAAAAAUGAGAAUUCCAUCCUGAUGGAAGGGUGCGUGA
rnacentral:misc_RNA from 1 species